UACGAAGGGGGCUAGCGUUGUUCGGAAUUACUGGGCGUAAAGCGCGUGUAGGCGGGUCUUUAAGUCAGGGGUGAAAUCCUGGAGCUCAACUCCAGAACUGCCUUUGAUACUGAAGAUCUUGAGUUCGGGAGAGGUGAGUGGAACUGCGAGUGUAGAGGUGAAAUUCGUAGAUAUUCGCAAGAACACCAGUGGCGAAGGCGGCUCACUGGCCCGAUACUGACGCUGAGGCACGAAAGCGUGGGGAGCAAACAGG
rnacentral:rRNA from 1 species